AUGCGAAGGUCCCAGCAGAGGGGCGAGUUACUCUUCAUAUUGAGGCUUCCCUAACGAUUCAUUUUAUACGCUUCGCAGAUUUAUUUGCCGAAUCGUAAGAUGCUUAAAUGUUUUGAUUUUUUGUGCAUCUGGAACUUCCGCUAUAUAUGU